rnacentral:rRNA from 1 species
AUUGAACGCUGGCGGCAGGCCUAACACAUGCAAGUCGAACGAGUGGCGGACGGGUGAGUAAUGUCUGGGAAACUGCCUGAUGGAGGGGGAUAACUACUGGAAACGGUAGCUAAUACCGCAUACCUUAAGCUGUGCCCAGGUGGGUUUAGCUAGUGGGUGGGGUAACGGCUCACCAAGGCGACGAUCCCUAGCUGGUCUGAGAGGAGGACCAGCCACACUGGAACUGAGACACGGUCCAGACUCCUACGGGAGGCAGCAGUGGGGAAUAUUGGACAAUGGGCGAAAGCCUGAUGCAGCCAUGCCGCGUGUAUGAAGAAGGCCUUCGGGUUGUAAAGUACUUUCAGCGGGGAGGCGUUACCCGCAGAAUAAGCACCGGCUAACUCCGUGCCAGCAGCCGCGGUAAUAC